rnacentral:rRNA from 1 species
GGGUCAGCAGGUCGGUCGUGCCACUGGUAUGCACUGGCUUUGCUGAUUCCUCCCUCUUGUAGAACCGUAAUGCCAUUAAGUUGGUGUUGCGGGGAAACAGGACUGUUACUUUGAAAAAAUUAGAGUGUUUAAAGCAGGCUAACGCUUGAAUACAUUAGCAUGGAAUAAUGAAAUAGGACGUUUGAUCUUAUUUUGUUGGUUUCUAGGAUCGACGUA